rnacentral:rRNA from 1 species
CCUACGGGUGGCUGCAGUGAGGAAUAUUGGACAAUGGAUGGAAAUCUGAUCCAGCCAUGCCGCGUGCAGGAAGACGGCCCUAUGGGUUGUAAACUGCUUUUGUGUGGGAGCAAUAAGGUCUAUGCGUAGACUGAUGAGAGUACCAUACGAAUAAGCAUCGGCUAACUCCGUGCCAGCAGCCGCGGUAAUACGGGGGAUGCAAGCGUUAUCCGGAUUUAUGGGGGUGUAAGGGUGCGGAUAAGUCUUGAUAGAAAUAUUUCAGCUUAACUGAAAGGGUGCCGUUGAUACUGUCAGGCUUGAAUAUGGUUGCUGUGGGUGGAAUGUGUGGUGUAGCGGUGAAAUGCUUAGAUAUCACACAGAAUAUCGAUUGCGAAGGCAGCUCACAAAGCCAUUAUUGACGCUGAUGCACGAAAGUGUGGGGAUCAAACAGGAUUAGAUACCCUUGUAGUC